rnacentral:lncRNA from 1 species
GUUUGGACUACACCACCAGAGUGCACAGCCAUUCCACAUUCAUUUCUCUUGCAUCUCCAGCACCAUGAAACUGAUAAACCCCAGCUGCUGAAAAAACAGAAAUGGAACAUGGUGAUACAAACAAAUCAAAUACAAGCAAAUGAAAAUAUCCAGUCUGCCAGCAGCGGAUUGGCCCAGAACAGCAGGCCGUCACGUGACCAAGUCCCAGCCUCUGCGAAGCACCCACGUCUGAAUUUCCAUGACGCACCUGCUGCCGUCACAUUAGCUCUCAAAACUUACAACUCGGCAAACGAUGGUCCUUAUGGAUGGAGGGGUAAAGAGAAACACUCCUCUCACUCUUCUCACAGUUUUAGUUCUGCUUCCAAUUCUGAGCAGUUGCAAAAUGCUUCAGAAGAUUCAGGCCUGAGAGCCCCAUCUGCAGCUUUGCAGUGUUGUGACCUUGGCCAAGACACUAACCAUCUCUGAGCUGCAACUUUCUCAUCCAUAAAAUAGUGAUAAUAAUGCCUGUUCUACUUUACUUGCAAGAAUGUUGUGAAGAUCAAAUAAAAUAACAUAAAUGAAAACA